UUCAUCACUGUCCGGCGUACAGAAAAACAAAAACGAACUUCCCCCACCCCUAUCCAACCUUCUUCUCUCUCCUCCCAACUCCCGCACCACCCCGAUCCCCAGUUCCCUCACCUUCUUCUCUCUCCCACUCACGCCUCGCACCGCAUCGCACCGACCCCCUAAUCCUCCUCACCCUCUUUCACCGUCGAUGCCAGCCGCCAGCUCUGUGCAGACCGGCCACCCGCCACCGACCGGCCUCCCCCUCGCGCACCUACCCCCCCUAACAUCCCGCAGCGCCCCGCCCCACCGCGCCCCGACUCCCUCCCUGACCCGCCGUCGCCCUCGACGCCAGCCAGCAUGGCCGCCUCCUUCCCCCACCGCCCCAGCCCCGGAUCCGGCGAGGAUCCACCAGGUGGUGCCUCACCUUCACCGUCGGGAUGUCUCUGGAUCUUACGGGAGGGGAUCCGCGCGCGCCCAUCCUCUUACCCCCCCAUUCUCCCGCUUUGAUUCCGGCGUGGAUCCGUGACUUCUCCGCCCCCCAGGUGGACUCAAGGUCGAGCCCCGUCCUGCGACGCCCCGCUGCCGUGGCGAGACCCAUCCUGCCGCCGCAACGCUGCCCCACCUCCUCCCCUUCUUCGCCCAGAUCCAAAAGGGCACAUGGUGCAGCCCCCGUCUCCUCUGCCCUGGAUCCAUGGAGCCCGUUGUGUCACGAGAGGCCCCCUCUCCUCUGUCGCGAGCUCGGGCCAACCAUUACUCAGCCACACGCCGGUGCCUUCCUCCUCCAAGGACCCGAUGCCGGCGCCAGGUACAUCCUUCCUUUCUCGAUUUUACUUACUUCCCCUCGCCCCCUGACCUCUGAUGCAAGUUCCGGCCACAGGAGGCACCGGCGCGCGAGGGGCAGUAGUGUGCCUGUGCUCAACCUCCACAAAAACGCAAGAUACCAGCGAUCCCAGGAGCGCGCGAUGAUGUUCAACGGCGGCUAGGACGCCCAUGCAGUUCAGAAAGGGAUAAGUUGUUUUUUUGUUGGAUUUUGGAUGGAGAUCUGAUGCCUCGUGCGGUCCAACUGUAGUGCGCAUCGCCGGUGAGGCUGCAGCUCGUGCAGUGCAGAUCAGUGCGGCGUGCGGUUUCCGUGUGCAUUCACCCAUCCUCCUACCCGCCUCUCCUAGCCGCCAGUGUGUGGGACGACGCUGGAUGGGGGCCGGCGCAUCCGUGCGGGCGUGCAGUUUGCCGGCGUGGCACGUGUGGUACACUGGUUCCGGUUAUGCUGUUCACCGGCGUACUCCCCUAUCCAACAGAGAGUGACAGUUCCGUUUCGCGAUGAUGUCUUUGUUUGCAGUUCUCUAGAUGUGUGUUGCAGUGCACUGAAUAAAAGGUUUUGUAUGGACAUGUUUGCUACAGUUUGUCACUCGGACGGGGAUCUCACAUGCAGUACACUUGGGUGGCGUUGGGAUUCCAGGAUUUGCAGAAAAAUGUGGUUCGAGUGGGCGGGCGGGCGUGCAGCUCACUAGGCUCUACCUCGCAGCUCGUUUGGCUCUGGCUGGGUCAAUGGAACUGGACCCAGAACCUAGGAAUUUGAUUCCAUUUUUGUUUGAGGAGUUUUUAUGUAAACUUGGACAAUAAAUUUGUGUAACUAUAAAAAAGAACAUUGCAGUUCUCUCGA